rnacentral:pre_miRNA from 1 species
AAUAAGUGCAAUUUUGCACUAUUCAUCUUCAACGUUUGACCGUUCAUCUUAUGUGAAAAAUUUUUAUGAUUACUAUUUUUAUUAUUAUUAAAUGAUAAAAUAUGAAUAGUAUUUUAUGUGUGACUAUUCUUUAAAAAAGUUUUUAUAAAUAUUUCAAAUAAGACGGACGGUCAAAUAUUGGACAAAGAUUUACA